GAAUGCUUUGCCUAGCAGUUUUAAAACCUAUCUACCUUCAAAAACUCCGAACUGACAUCUAAUUGAGGAGAUUUCCUGUUUGGUAGUCAAGCAAAGAUGAAAAUGAAAGUACCGCAUUGUUGGUUCUGACCAAGAUGUCACCCCUGGGUCGGCGUGAUAAGGGCCGUGAUGGAGAAAGACAAAGUGUGUUUCGGGACACUCCCACCCACUGGAAACCUGAGGAGCAGGG